AGUAUGUGGUUUAAUUCGAUGCAACGCGAAGAACCUUACCUGGUCUUGACAUCCCGGAGACCCUUAGGAAACUAGGGGGUGCUUCCAUCUGGAAGAAUCUGGAGACAGGUGCUGCAUGGCUGUCGUCAGCUCGUGUCGUGAGAUGUUGGGUUUAAGUCCCGCAACGAGCGCAACCCUUGCCUUUAGUUGCCAGCAGUUCGGCUGGGCACUCUAAAGGGACUGCCGGUGUUAAACCGGAGGAAGGUGGGGAUGACGUCAAGUCCUCAUGGCCUUUAUGACCAGGGCUACACACGUACUACAAUGGCCGAUACAAAGGGCAGCGACACUGCGAGGUGAAGCCAAUCCCGUAAAAUCGGUCUCAGUCCGGAUUGGAGUCUGCAACUCGACUCCAUGAAGUUGGAAUCGCUAGUAAUCGUGGAUCAGCAUGCCACGGUGAAUACGUUCCCGGGCCUU
rnacentral:rRNA from 1 species